rnacentral:rRNA from 1 species
CUGGUUGAUCCUGCCAGUAGUUAUAUGCUUGUCUCAAAGAUUAAGCCAUGCAUGUGUAAGCACAUGCCUUUAAACGGUAAAGCCGCGAAUGGCUCGGUAUAACAGCUGCAGUUUAUUAGACCAUAGUUUUCUACUUGGAUAACUGUGGCAAUUCUAGAGCUAAUACAUGCACGAAAGCUCGGACCCUCGCGGAAAGAGCGCAUUUAUUAGACCAAAACCAAUCGGGCGCUUCGGCGCUUGGUUUUUGGUGACUCUGAAUAACUUAGUUGAUCGCACAGUCUUAGUACUGGCGACGUAUCUUUCAAAUGUCUGCCUUAUCAACUUUCGAUGGUAGGUUAUACGCCUACCAUGGUGAUAACGGGUAACGGAGAAUUAGGGUUCGACUCCGGAGAGGGAGCCUGAGAAACGGCUACCACAUCCAAGGAAGGCAGCAGGCGCGCAAAUUACCCAAUCUCAGAACGAGGAGGUAGUGACGAAAAAUAACAAAACAGUCCACUUUGUGGCCUGUUAUCGGAAUGGGUACAAUUUAAAUCUUUUAACGAGGAUCUAUUAGAGGGCAAGUCUGGUGCCAGCAGCCGCGGUAAUUCCAGCUCUAAUAGCGUAUAUUAAAGUUGUUGUGGUUAAAACGCCCGUAGUUGGUUUUUCGGUCUCGAAGCUCGGUAGCUCGUAUGGGCUUAACUGAGUCUUCCGGCCUAAAUUUCUUGUACUCUCCCGAUGCUCUUUAUUGAGUGUCUCGAGAUGCUAGAACGUUUACUUUGAAAAAAUUAGAGUGCUAAAAGCAGGCUAUACGCUUGAAUAAAGUGCAUGGAAUAAUGGAAUAGGACUUUAGUUUUAUUUUGUUGGUUUUCGAAAUUAAAGUAAUGAUUAAGAGGAACAGACGGGGGCAUUCGUAUUGUUGCGUUAGAGGUGAAAUUCUUGGAUCGCAGCAAGACGAACAACUGCGAAAGCAUUUGCCAAGAAUGUUUUCAUUAAUCAAGGACGAUAGUUAGAGGUUCGAAGGCGAUCAGAUACCGCCCUAGUUCUAACCGUAAACUAUGCCAACUAGCGAUCCGUCGGUGUUAAAUAUUGACUCGACGGGCAGCUUCCGGGAAACCAAAGUUUAUAGGUUCCGGGGGAAGUAUGGUUGCAAAGCUUAAACUUAAAGGAAUUGACGGAAGGGCACCACCAGGAGUGGAGCCUGCGGCUUAAUUUGACCCAACACGGGGAAACUCACCCGGCCAGGACACAAUAAGGAUUGACAGAUUGAUAGCUCUUUCUUGAUUUUGUGGGUGGUGGUGCAUGGCCGUUCUUAGUUGGUGGAGCGAUUUGUCUGGUUAAUUCCGAUAACGAACGAGACUCUAGCCUAUUAAAUAGACGAUAUAUCUC